AAUGAACGCUGGCGGCAGGCCUAACACAUGCCAGUCGAGCGAGCAUUUCGGUGCUAGCGGCGGACGGGUGAGUAACGCGUGGGAACGUGCCCUUUUCUGCGGAAUAGUCCUGGGAAACUGGGGGUAAUACUGCAUACGCCCUUUUGGGGAAAGAUUUAUCGGAGAAGGAUCGGCCCGCGUUGGAUUAGGUAGUUGGUGGGGUAAUGGCCCACCAAGCCGACGAUCCAUAGCUGGUUUGAGAGGAUGAUCAGCCACACUGGGACUGAGACACGGCCCAGACUCCUACGGGAGGCAGCAGUGGGGAAUCUUAGACAAUGGGGGCAACCCUGAUCUAGCCAUGCCGCGUGAGUGAUGAAGGCCUUAGGGUUGUAAAGCUCUUUCAGCUGGGAAGAUAAUGACGGUACCAGCAGAAGAAGCCCCGGCUAACUCCGUG
rnacentral:rRNA from 1 species